rnacentral:rRNA from 5 species
UGGUGGCGAUAGCGAAGAGGUCACACCCGUUCCCAUGCCGAACACGGAAGUUAAGCUCUUCAGCGCCGAUGGUAGUUGGGGGCUUCCCCCUGUGAGAGUAGGACGCCGCCAAGCU